UGUGAUCCGCCACUGUGCACCGAACGGGCCAGGUUCGCUGCCGGGUGCUCUUGAUCGCUUCCUGCCCUUAGAUCUGGAAGUCCUGAGCGCUGUUACACUACAGUCUCUGUGGUCCCGGAAAAUCCGGGCGGGCCCUGCAGACCAUUCUGUCUUGGUUACCAGUAUUGGGCUGGUGAGAUCGCUAGGCCGGAUUGACUGUUGCGCCUUGCGUGCUCCUGCUGGGUUCUGGUUGCGUUUUGGUCUAUGCCACGUUGCCCACAGCUGGGCACUCGGUGGUGUUCUUCCUCGGAUCUAAGCUAUCGGUGGAACAGGCGUGUGCUCUGCCAAAGUCCCGCUACUUUGGGGAAGGACCCCAAAAUUUGCAAAGCAAAAAUGUUCUGUCUUCCUCAGAAGGAAUCCACGGCACCUACUACCUGCACAGGCUCAACCUCCACUCAGGACAUGGAAAGUAGCUAUGGUGAUGGUCUGCAAGGAGAAUGCCUCAGAAAACCAGACCAGAAGCAGCCCAAACUCUAUGGAGUGGGCAACCCCACGGCCAAAUUCUCCUCUGACAGUUCCUGCCUGUCCUCUAGAGGAAGAGUCAUCAAAUGGUUCUGGGACUCUGCUGAGGAGGGCUACAGGACCUACCACAUGGAUGAGUAUGAUGAGGACAAGAACCCCAGUGGCAUCAUUAACUUGGGCACCAGUGAAAACAAACUCUGCUUUGACCUUCUGUCCUGGCGGCUGACACAGAAUGACAUGUUUCAUGUGGAGCCAUCUCUGCUGCAGUACCCUGACUGGAGAGGACAUCUGUUCCUCCGGGAAGAAGUGGCAAGGUUCUUAUCUUUCUACUGUAAGAGCCCGGCACCCCUCAAACCAGAGAAUGUGGUUGUUCUGAAUGGCUGUGCCUCUCUCUUUUCCGCUCUGGCCACAGUGCUUUGUGAGGAAGGGGAUGCUCUCUUGAUCCCCACACCUUACUAUGGAGCCAUUACCCAACACAUCUAUCUCUAUGGCAACAUCCGACUAGCCUAUGUUUACCUGGAUAGCAAGGUAACUGGCCUGAAUACACGUCCCUUCCAGCUCACCGUGGAGAAGCUGGAGAUGGCCCUGCAAGGAGUUAAUGCUGAGGGUGUCAAGGUCAAAGGCCUCAUCCUCAUCAACCCCCAAAACCCUCUGGGUGAUGUCUAUUCUCCUGAAGAGCUGCAGGACUUCCUGGGGUUCGCCAUGAGGCACAAGCUACAUGUGAUCAUGGAUGAGGUUUACAUGCUGUCGGUGUUUGAAGAGUCUCUUGGGUACCGCAGUGUUCUCAGCCUGGAAAGGCUGCCUGACCCCCAGAGGACACACGUGAUGUGGGCCACCAGCAAGGACUUCGGGAUGUCUGGGCUUCGCUUCGGUGUACUGUACACAGAAAACCAGCACGUGGCUACUGCUGUGGCCUCCCUCUGCCGCUAUCAUGGCCUCAGUGGCCUGGUACAACAUCAGAUGGCACAGCUGCUCCGGGACCAUGGGCUCUGAGGAGAAUUUCGAUACAGUUCCCCAUCAUUUUACAGACGAGGAAGACCAGAUGCUAAACACCCAAUCUAAUAGCGUGAAGUUUUGUAGAAACAGUGACAAGACCUCUUGUUGGUAAGGGAGGCGAGCUAGGACACUUGCUGAUGUGGUCAGAAGGCGUUUCAGCCACAGUGAAAAACAAUCCCUUAGUUUCCUAUAAACACACUUACCAAAGGACCCAGCAGCAGUCAGAGCGCCAAAUGUGGAACCUCUGUGCGAAUGAGCUACUUCUUCAUAGCCACCCACAUCUGUAAAUGGUAGCCCCCCCCCCCCAGACACGUUGAUACACAGUGUCCCAUCUACACGGAUCCAAUAAAACCCAUAGCAGUGUGGGUUUCUCCCCGAGAUGCUGUACUGACAGGGGAAGCUAGGAGCUAGACAUUACGUGCCACAUGAGGCUAAUUUUGGUGACAUUGAGGAAUGAACACAACUGUCACAAUAGAUAGCACAUCAAUCACGGGAAGGGAUAUAAGUCUAAAUAGCAUGAGGAUAAUCUUUUGGGGUCACUCAGAAUCCUGAUUCUGUGUCAUAAUUCAUUCAGCUGUCCACACCCACCCUCUCACCCCUUACCCCCCUCCCCACCAACUUGGUCAGUAAGUCGAUGAAGAUCAGGGAGGGAGCUGAAGCUGCAGAGGUCUGCCUUUCCCGUCUGGCCAGAGGUCCCACUGGGAGCGGGACCUUGGUCUGUGUGGUUUGGAAGUAUCACUUUAUAACUGCAGGCACCUUUGGCUUGGUUCCCAUCCUUCGGGACUUUAUCCUUUGGGCUCCUGAAUGAGGUCCAGGUCCUGGAGCUCUCAAUCGCAUACCUGGAUCAAAGACUGGAUCAGCCAGGUGUACCUGCCAGAAAACCAUGCCAGGCUCAAGGCUGCCCACACCUAUGUCUCAGAAGAGCUCAGAGCCCUGGGGA